ACUUGAAUAGCUUAUAUAGAGCAUAGUACUGAAGAUACUAAGGAAAUUAAAUGUUUAUUAAUUUUUAGGUA
rnacentral:tRNA from 1 species